rnacentral:misc_RNA from 1 species
GAUGAAGAACGUAGCGAAAUGCGAUAAGUAAUGUGAAUUGCAGAAUUCAGUGAAUCAUCGAAUCUUUGAACGCACAUUGCGCCCCUUGGUAUUCCAUGGGGCAUGCCUGUUCGAGCGUCAUUUACACCCUCAAGCUCUGCUUGGUGUUGGGCGUCUGUCCCGCUGCUUUGCGCGGACUCGCCUCAAAGGUAUUGGCAGCGAUCAUGCCAGCUUCUCGCGCAGCACAUUGCGCUUCUUGAAGUUCUGGUGGAUCAGCGUCCAUUAAGCUUACCUUCAUGACUUGACCUCGGAUCAGGUAGGGAUACCCGCUGAACUUAAGCAUAUCAAUAAGCGGAGGA